rnacentral:misc_RNA from 1 species
GGUCCUUCCAAACCGAGGGCUCGAAUAAUUGCAAUUUGAACACAAGUUCAUGAUGAAAAUAACAGUUUAAGACCACCAUGGUUCUUCACCGGUUCUGAAAUCUGUUUCCACCCAAGGCACAAACAAUACUUUGCCGUCAUCGGUGAUGUCGCAGUGAGCCAAUGCCAGCGACAAUGGUGCAGGCCCCCUAACAACCUUCCCUUGAUUGUUGUAUUGCGAUCCGUGGCAGGGGCAGAGGAACUUGUUUUCAUUUUUAUUCCAUGGGACAACACAGCCAAGAUGAGUGCAAACAGCAUUGAUACCAUAGGUUGCAAGAGAUCUAUCAUUCUCCACAACAAGGUAAGUAGGA